rnacentral:rRNA from 1 species
GACGAACGCUGGCGGCGUGCCUAAUACAUGCAAGUCGAGCGGACCAAAGGGAGCUUGCUCCUGGAGGUCAGCGGCGAACGGGUGAGUAACACGUGGGCAACCUGCCUGUAAGACUGGGAUAACAUCGAGAAAUCGGUGCUAAUACCGGAUAAUAAAAAGAACUGCAUGGUUCUUUUUUGAAAGAUGGUUUCGGCUAUCACUUACAGAUGGGCCCGCGGCGCAUUAGCUAGUUGGUGAGGUAACGGCUCACCAAGGCAGCGAUGCGUAGCCGACCUGAGAGGGUGAUCGGCCACACUGGGACUGAGACACGGCCCAGACUCCUACGGGAGGCAGCAGUAGGGAAUCUUCCGCAAUGGACGAAAGUCUGACGGAGCAACGCCGCGUGAGUGAUGUAAGGUUUCGGAUCGUAAAACUCUGUUGUUAGGGAAGAACAAGUGCCGUUCGAAAGGGCGGCACCUUGACGGUACCUAACGAG